AUUGAACGCUGGCGGCAGGCCUAACACAUGCAAGUCGAGCGGAUGAAGGGAGCUUGCUCCUGGACUCAGCGGCGGACGGGUGAGUAAUGCCUAGGAAUCUGCCUGGUAGUGGGGGAUAACGUCCGGAAACGGGCGCUAAUACCGCAUACGUCCUGAGGGAGAAAGUGGGGGAUCUUCGGGCCUCACGCUAUCAGAUGAGCCUAGGUCGGAUUAGCUAGUUGGUGGGGUAAAGGCCUACCAAGGCGACGAUCCGUAACUGGUCUGAGAGGAUGAUCAGUCACACUGGAACUGAGACACGGUCCAGACUCCUACGGGAGGCAGCAGUGGGGAAUAUUGGACAAUGGGCGAAAGCCUGAUCCAGCCAUGCCGCGUGUGUGAAGAAGGUCUUCGGAUUGUAAAGCACUUUAAGUUGGGAGGAAGGGCAGUAAGUUAAUACCUUGCUGUUUUGACGUUACCAACAGAAUAAGCACCGGCUAACUUCGUG
rnacentral:rRNA from 1 species